GAGAUUUUAAAAAAUAAUAGAGCAAAGUCAAACAUCAAAUCCUUAUUUUUCUCUCCUCUCAACUAUAUGCACAGAAUAGAAAAUAGGGCAUCGCACUCAAUCUCACAAACUUGCCCCCUUCUUCCUUUUCGUCUCACCACAAACUAUCAAUGGCCUCCUCAUCCUCGCCAUAAUCACCGGCCGGAGUCAAAUUCCACCAUCCUCUAUUCCUCUCCCAGUUGGGAGAGGAACCCUUCUCCUCUUUUCCCCCAAUUAGGGCACAACAGGGGUGAAGACGCGAGUCAUCUGGAUCCGGGACGCCAUCUCCACUCAUCACUAGAGCAUCCACCUUCUUCUUCUCUCGAUUGGGAGAAGUUCCAUCCUAUCGCCCACUUCAUCUCUUUCCUCUCCCGAUUGGGAGUGGAGGCGGCCGAUUUUUCGACACCACAGCCACAUCUCUCGAUUGGUAGAGGAGACAAGGGAUCUUGGAUCUGAGGUCUCUCCCAUCUCCUUUGGAAGCUCACAAUCGGCCAUCCACUUCAACUUUCUCGACAUUUCCUCUUUAGAUUCAAAGAUGAGAUUUUUACAACCACGAUCUUACCGCAAACACCCGAUUGGGAGUCUCUUCGUCAUCAUCUUCGACUUUUUCGGACAGCAGGCCUUCUCCACAAGCUAAUUAGUCCCAAUUGGGGCUUGGUUGCGAAAUCAUCUUUUAUUCAUACAAUCUCCUAGUUCUUGAAUUUAUGAUUGCAAAUGGCUUCUAAUUCUCAUGUAAUAUGUUUACAGGUUCAUCAUGCUUUACUGAAGGAGCUAGUUCAUAAAGCUGUUAGCGAGACUCCAAUUAGUAGUGGCAUUGUAUUGUGACUGAUCUUGUCCGAAAACUGAGAAGACGACUGGCUGGGAACGUAGCUAUGUGGUUGACCGGAAGAAGACUCUGUGCUGUCCUACAAAACCUGGAGCGUUAGUGUCGGGUCAGGGAGGGGUCCUCGACAUUAUCCCUCUAAUGCUCAAGUUAAUAUCUGGUUCAAUAGAGAGGAAUAGUAGCAGUGAACAGUAGCGAGAAGUGUGUAGAAUAAUGAAGCAUCGCAUACCUUCACCUGUGGAUGGAGCCCCCCUUUUAUAGUGUCAUUGUAGCGUCUCUGUAUGUACCAUCAGUUUUUCUUUAUCCAUUAAUGGAGUCAUGUAUGGCCACUUCAAAGGUGCCAGAGGACUACCAUAGGAUAAUCCCCUGUCUCCCUAUCUAUUUGGGAUAUGUAUGGAAUACUUAGCCCGCAUGCUGAGUCAACAAAUAAAAUGGACAAAUUUUCAUUUCCA